rnacentral:misc_RNA from 1 species
GAAUACCGCGUUAGGGAUUGCAGAGAAAAGCCCACAGCCCUACAAAGGAGGUGUGAGGACUUGUAACGUAAAGCCCGACCCGCU